AACGGCAGCACGGGGGCAACCCUGGUGGCGAGUGGCGAACGGGUGAGUAAAGCAUCGGAACGUACCCAGUCGUGGGGGACAACUAGUCGAAAGAUUAGCUAAUACCGCAUGCGACCUGAGGGUGAAAGUGGGGGACCGCAAGGCCUCACGCGAUUGGAGCGGCCGAUGUCUGAUUAGCUAGUUGGUGGGGUAAAGGCCCACCGAGGCGACGAUCAGUAGCGGGUCUGAGAGGAUGAUCCGCCACACUAGGACUGAGACACGGCCCAGACUCCUACGGGAGGCAGCAGUGGGGAAUUUUGGACAAUGGGGGCAACCCUGAUCCAGCCAUGCCGCGUGCGGGAAGAAGGCCUUCGGGUUGUAAACCGCUUUCGGACGGAAAGAAAUCGCCUGGGCUAAUACCCUGGGUGGAUGACGGUACCGUAAGAAGAAGCACCGGCUAACUACGUGCCAGCAGCCGCGGUAAUACGUAGGGUGCGAGCGUUAAUCGGAAUUACUGGGCGUAAAGCGUGCGCAGGCGGUUUCUUAAGCCAGAUGUGAAAUCCCCGGGCUUAACCUGGGAACUGCAUUUGGAACUGGGAGACUAGAGUGCGUCUGAGGAGGGUGGAAUUCCACGUGUAGCACUGAAAUGCGUAGAGAUGUGGAGGAACACCGAUGGCGAAGGCAGCCCCCUGGGAUGACACUGACGCUC
rnacentral:rRNA from 1 species